rnacentral:rRNA from 1 species
UAAAAAUAAUCAUGGAGUCUUGCCCAAUGGGCAGGACAAUACCGCUGAAUUGCUGUGAUCAACGAAUUGUUGUACCAGCAGCCCGUAACAGGGCCCACAGAUCAAGCCGCGGUGGUUCCACAUAGAAAAUAAUUAGGCAGAACUUUAAUAUGACCGGUCUCGCCUGUGACGGAUGAGGUGUAAGUUCCGUAGUGAACCUGCGGAAGAUCAUUACGAGUUAGGGUAUCUGGGCCUCACUCAACCCUUUGCUUACUCUACCAUGUUGCUUGGCGGGCCGCCUUUCGGGGGCCGCCGGGGGCUUUACUGCCUCUGGCCUGUGCCYGCCAGUAGCCCUCUCAAAUUCGUUUUAAUUGUGUUGUCUKAGUAYAAAUAUAAAUCGUUUUUAAAACUUUCAACAACGGAUCUCUUGGUUCUGGCAUCGAUGAAGAACGCAGCGAAAUGCGAUAAGUAAUGCGAAUUGCAGAAUUCAGUGAGUCAUCGAAUCUUUGAACGCAUAUUGCGCCCUUUGGUAUUCCGAAGGGCAUGCCUGUUCGAGCGUCAUUAUCAACCAUCAAGCCUGGCUUGUCGUUGGACUUUUUUUGUYGCUCAUGYGACAGGUCCGAAAGAYAAUGAACGGUGUCAUGRUGGCCCUAAAUGCAACGAGCUUUUUACRGCACGCAUCUAGUGGUUAGCAGGCCCGGUCUUAAYCCUUAAUUUUUCAAGGUUGACCUCGGAUCAGGUAGGAAUACCCGCUGAACUUAAGCAUAUCAAUAAGCGGAGGA